rnacentral:rRNA from 1 species
AGUGAACGCUGGCGGUAGGCCUAACACAUGCAAGUCGAACGGCAGCACAGUAAGAGCUUGCUCUUACGGGUGGCGAGUGGCGGACGGGUGAGGAAUACAUCGGAAUCUACUUUUUCGUGGGGGAUAACGCAGGGAAACUUACGCUAAUACCGCAUACGACCUACGGGUGAAAGCAGGGGAUCUUCGGACCUUGCGCGAUUGAAUGAGCCGAUGUCGGAUUAGCUAGUUGGCGGGGUAAAGGCCCACCAAGGCGACGAUCCGAAGCUGGUCUGAGAGGAUGAUCAGCCACACUGGAACUGAGACACGGUCCAGACUCCUAUGGGAGGCAGCAGUGGGGAAUAUUGGACAAUGGGCGCAAGCCUGAUCCAGCCAUACCGCGUGGGUGAAGAAGGCCUUCGGGUUGUAAAGCCCUUUUGUUGGGAAAGAAAAGCAGCAGGUUAAUACCCCGCUGUUCUGACGGUACCCAAAGAAUAAGCACCGGCUAACUUCGUG